rfam:Schistosoma rodhaini strain Burundi genome assembly, scaffold: SROB_scaffold0003980
AUCCAGCUGACAAGUCCCCGAUAGGACGUAACGCACGUCCCGGAU